UCUUUUCCAAGAUCUUUCAUUUCAAACUCUUCUUUCAUAUGAGUUCGUGCAUCAUCAAUCUCCUUUGGAGUUCCAAUUAUAUUUAGGUCAUCAACAUAAACAACAAUGAUCACAAAUCCCGAAGGGGAUUUCAUAAUGAAGACGCAAAGGCAGAUUUCAUUAUUCACAUACCCUUUCUUAAGUAGAUAAUCGCUUAAACGAUUAUACCACAUGCGUCCGGAUUGUUUCAAUCCGUAAAGUGAUCGUUGUAAUUUGACCAU
rnacentral:sRNA from 1 species